CUCUGUCCUGUAGUGUUCAGCAAACCUGCUGGUGGUCAUGGUGCAAAAAGCUACUUGGCAUUUGGCAGGAAAAUCCUUAUGGAGCUUCUAUUUAUGCAUCACUUGUUUGUUUUAUGUGGUCUUGCAUGAUUUGUGCCAUUUUUGAGAUCUUGCAUUUUACAUAAAUCAUCUUUACAUAAAUUAUCCUGGAGAUGGUUUUUCAGUUUAAAAGGACAGUCCCCAAACCCUUAGCUCGUGCAAGCGUGAAGAGUGAGGAGCAUAGAAGUGCAAAAGGGCCAUGUAUUUUUCUCAGGCUCUGGAGUCAGCAUGUCAAACCAGACAUGCUAUACAAUAAUUACACUGUCUUUAGGGUCAUGGUUAAUGCAGUGUUAUAGCUCAGUUGCAGGCUUUACCCAUGAACUGAUGCUUGCAAUUAUGUGGCAUUUUAUAAUUUUUGUUUAUAUUUUUUGUUUUGCUUCUCCUGGUCUUUCCUUUUGAUGAUGCUUGCCUGAGUGAGUUGCUCACUGGUAGAGCUGGAAGAUUAUUUCCUUUAUUAAUACUUUAUUUUGCCUUUUUAACUUAAUUUUCCUGCUGAGUCUAUAAGUGGAAGUGGUGAACGUUCUUUCUAUAAUCCGGCCAUUCUCAUUGCCCAUGUUUGUAGGAAACCUUGCUAUGAUGAGAGACUACAGUGGCAGAAAUACAUUUGAAAAGAACGUAAGUUAAGAGAUGCAAAAUGUCUAAUGUUAGGGGAUAGUUUAAUCUGUCCAAAAGUCAGGGAGAUUGAUAGGCUCUUGCAAAUUGGCCCAACACUGCUCUUCAAGUGCUUAAGUCUCUGCUGUUUUUGCUGUGCAGUUGCUGUAUGAGCUGUAGCAGAUAGUAAUACUUGGAUGUGUGCACAAAGCCAGUUUAUUUUUUUCAUAGAAAGCAUAUUGUGUGAUGGCUGCUACUGCUGCCAGCUUACUGGCAUUUAAUGCACAUACAGAGACACACACACACACACAAAAUAACAUCUUAUCAAUAAGGAUCUUUAUGAGGUAUGUAUAAUUCCUUUAUAUAUAAGUAUGGUAUAUAAAUUACAUUUUUAAUGUAUGUAAACUUGGGGGUGAUGCUCAAGUAUUUUUCUACUUUGAUUCAGCACUUGUGGUAGGACUUUGUCAUUGACAACCUUUUGAUAUGUAACCUUGAAGGAAAGAACAUACUACUUAGAGGUUGCUUGCAGAAAACAUUCAAUCUCUUGAGUGUAAAAUCUCUUAAAGUGCGAGGAAAUGCAGCAGAAUUCUCCUUGAACCAUUUGAAAGGUGGGACCUUUCUUGGACCUUGUGUAAGAUCCUAAACUUACUGAAGUGCCAUGACUCUGCAAGGCCAUGUGGCCACAAAAGCACUGGAUGAGGAUGCUGUAUUUUAGACUCGCAGGACUCUCAAGCCAUUUUAGUUGAAGAGAUAAGAAAAACUUGAACAUAGUUGACCUAGUUACUUAAGUGAUAGAGCGUAGUGAUUAUUUUAGAGCACUUAAAGGCUGAAGAAAAGAUGUUCUAGACAGGCCAAGGAUUAACAGUAUAUUGAAUAUUCGUAAAACUCUGCUUCCAACAUAGUUAUGUUAAGAUAAUUUGACAGUCCAAUGUGUGAAUGCUCAAAUCACAGCUGCUCAAGGAUCUGAACACUUUUUUCUUCUACCUAUUACCUUGCAUUUAAUACACUCUGUAUGUUGGACAGUGAAGUACUUUGGAAUAGCACAGAAACAGUCAUAUGUGAAGGUGAUUAUACUGGAAUUGCUUUGGGAAAAAUUGUCAAGCACUAUGUUUUCUAGGCAAUGGAAACUAAGCCAACUAAGCGAGAGGCUGUGUAUGUCCAGUUUACUUUCUUCCUUCACUCUGUGCAACCUUUUCUUCCCCACUGCCUCCAGCUCCUUAAAUGAGUAGAAGGCUGCUGGAGGUGCUGCUGAGAGAUUUGGGUGCAGGUGCAACAUGAGGUUCUUGCUUUCUUGCCAGUGGUCUCUCUUUUGUUGCUUGUGUUGCGUGUAACGGGAGCCAGCUGUUAGCUCUGUUCAUGUGCAGUAUUGGUUCUAGUUCUACCAGGUGCACAAUUAGUAAACUGUCUGCCAGUCUAAGUGGGGAAUGUCAGAGGGCAGUUCAGUUUCUUUCACUGUUAAUUCUUCAGCUUCCUUUAAAUAAGGCAUACCACAUGGUCUCUUACUACCACUAAUAAAAGGGCUUUUGAAAUUUGGACAUACCUCUUAUGAGAAUCUAUCUCAACCUGUUCAGUAUGGGCACUACUUUGCCACUGAAUUAGAGACACUGGUCAUUGCAACCAGAGGUAGUUUGAAACAAGAGGUUCACCUGAAUUUAAAUGAUUGAGCAGAAGAAAAGUUUCUAAAAUUAAGGAGACUAAUGCAUUACUGUACAUUUUGUCUCACUUCGUAGUAAUUGGUCAAUGGAGGAAGAGAGAACAAAUGUCUGUAUUGUGCUAAAAGUGUGAAUGUGUUUCUUUGUGUGUUUUAGUAUACCAUAUGAAAGUCUUGGUUGCUGUAGCCCUAGUAUUUUAAAACCUAGUGAAAUGGUGAAGUCAGCUUUAAGGUAAUCUUCCACUUUUUUUUGUUUUCGUAUUUUCUUUCUCUGUGGGUACAUACGUGCCCUGGAAGCGUUUAAGACUAGUGUGGGUAGAAAGUAGCACUAGAAACCGGUCAAGACAGCUAUUCGUUGUAAAGUUGAUAUUUGUAUUUACAGCAUAGCCUAUUAUUAUCAUAUAACAUGAAAUGAAUAAAUAAUACCUAUAUUGUAGCAGAUGCACCUUAGCAGUAGGCAGAAUAGCAUCAAAAAUGGUCAGUAAGCUUCAUUCUAUACACAGAAGCAUCAAAUGUUUCAGGUUCUCUCUACCUUAUAUUUAAUGCGCUAUGAUGUCAUAAUCUAAAUCAAAUUUUCUGAAUGUUUCCCUGACUGCAUAUUUCCAUACAACUCUUGUUCUUAGGGGAAAAACAAAACUAGGGAAAAAGACUUCUGUGCCCAAGUGAAUGGAGUGAAACCAUAUUCACAACUCUCUUUCCCCUAGUGAAAAAAACCAAGAAAGUCUACAAAAAAGAUAGGUACAAACUUAGGAUAAAGGUUUCUCUGUAAGUUCCUAAAAUCAAAUAUAUGAACUUAACCUCUGUGUCAAGAACAUUUGCUCAAUUAAAUUAUAUAAUUCUGCUUUUCAAACCACUUGUAGACAAUAAUAGAUAUUUCUUUUCACUAGAUUUUGUAUGGUGAACAUAAAUGAGAUUCUUGAUGUUCAGAUCUAUCCCACUGACUAGAAAUAACCUUCUUCAUAUUAUAGAGUGCAUUCACAUCUAUGCAUGUUAUGUAGAAAGCUAAGUGUUACUUAUGCCCAUCCUGUGCAGGUCUCUUGCUCUGCAAAAUUUUUAAAUCUGUCCUUGUCUUUUGCUACAGAGCGCUGUAUGUAUGUAUGUAUGUAUUUCUUUAUUUAUUUUAAGGCCCUCAUGUCUCUUUUAAGUGAGCAUUGAAAGAAAAAGCAAAUUGCUGUUGAAAUUCCCUCUCUGGUGAUUCCAGCUAACUCAACCACAACUAGUGUAUUAAAAAGAGUAAGCAAAUCUCCCCCUCUUUUCCUCCUUGGUGUCUAGGUAGUAGAGAGCUUUGACCCCAGAAAGCUUUACAUGAUAGACUCUUUUCAGAUUGACGUGUAAGUCAUGCUAAGGCUCCAUGUGUAAACUUGACAGUACCUCUCUGUGCUUGACAUUGUAACUUUAAGAUUUGAUAUUAUUUAAAUAUACUAAAGUGUACCCUGUAUCAAACUGCAGGUGCUGCUACACUUCUAUUACAGCAUGGUAACACUUGCCUUGUAAAAACUCUGAGGCUUGGGAAAGAGUUAAGCAAAGCAGCCAGAAACGGUUUUCAGCUUUUACUUUGCAGAUACAACCUUUUAAGCAUACCUACAUUUACCUGCAAUGGCAAUCGUUUUGCAUUUUAAUGACAAAUCAAGUAUGCUAACUUGCAUUUGAAACGAAAGUGCCUUAAAUGUCUCUGGCUGUCAGAAUGAGAUGUUAGGAGCUUGAUGAAAAGAGAACAAAGAAGACAAAGUAUGAAGCCUAGAUACAGAGCAAAAUGAAAUAAAACCUUGUAUGGCCUGUCAGGGGUGUCAGUUGAUAUUCCUAUCUAAAGCACAUUAUAGUAUUACUUUGCAGCUCAUAGCUUACUCAUCUGUCUUUUUUAAUUCAUCACAUUCUAGCCCACAUCUUUUAAGUCCCAUGUGUCAACAAUGGAAGAAAUCUGUUAAUUGACAAAUGAGUGUCACAAAUGUGAAUUGGUGCCUUUACAUCAGAGGCAGGUAGUCUCUGUUGUUUUUUGUCGGCUCUAUUAUUGGCAUAAGCCAGUGUAAGACAUCUGUCUUUGCCAGAAUGAGAGAUGACAGCCAAAGAAGGGCUGUCAUUGUUUUAGUGCAUGUUCAUUCUGCUGAGAUACUGUAUAAAGAUAAAAUGUCAGUUAAAAGAAUAUGAAAAACUAUCGGGAGGAAGUCCUUAAAUUACUUGGGAAGGGGAUCUGGGAAUUGGUGCCAGAAUUGAAAUCCAAACGUUCCAGUUUGCAUCUAUCACAUCAAUUUAAAAAUAAUACUUUCUGAGUAACUGGGUCAGUUUAUAAGGCAUUUAGGAAAACGUUAUGUUGUGUUGGCAUAAUUAGCUCAUAAGAUGGAAGAGAAAACAUACCUUCACAGGAUAUGAGUUUAUUACAAGUUCAUUUUUCAAACAUGUAUAGAAUUGUCUCAAUAAAAAUAUGCUAUGUAGCAUCCCUAGUGUUGAUUUGCAUCUGUUUUGAAAUAUUGAAAUUGCUCUGUUCCAAUUUCUUUUUCUGUUAUAGUUCUAUUUUAGAUUGAUGAAUAACAUAAUGAAAUAAAAAGCAUAGCCAGCUGUGAGUUGAUGAGACAAUUAAUAGGAAGAAAAUUAUUAACAUAGUUUCAGGGUGUCUAGGGGGUGUACAGUAUACAAAAGUUACUCCCAAAUCACUAAAUCCCUUUAUUGCAAUAAAUGAUUUUUAAUAUUGGAUAGCACAAAAGAGAGGAGGAAAAUGUUUUAAUGGAGGUGGUAGAAAGGGGGAAUAGAAUUAAAAUGUCAUAAGAGGCUGCCUUUUUGCUUUUUACUUUAUAACAAAAGUCCUAAGAAAGGUAGAUUGGCACUUUUAUCUUCAGCAGCCCUUACAACCAACCCUGUGCUGUACAGGACACUCACUGUGUAACCCCCUCCUUCCCAAAUGAUCUGUCACUUGGUUUCUAAAUGACCUUGUCUGAACUUCAGGCAUUUCACAAUCUGGUGAGGGACUAACUCUAGAUCUGUAGUGAGGCUGACUGAGUUGAUGUUUCAAGAGGGAUGUCUCUGAACAGCAAUUUAUUAAAAGUCUUAAAGUUACUUGGGUUUUGCAUUUGAAAUAGAGCUGUCAAUAUAGCAAAUCUUAGAUGUUCUGAAUUCUGAUACUACUUAAUAUAGGUAGAAUUGUCAUUCAUAACUUUGUAGGAUUUCUUUGUUAGUUUUCUUUUUUUUUUUUUUUAAACUUUCUUCUAGCAACUAAUUGAGUAGCAGAAAAAAAUAUCAAACUGAUGCUCUUUUUCCCCUUCCCACCAUCUAAUGUGGGGUUCUCAAAUUUUUUUUAUCUGUGACUACUCUGUUUAUCUCAAAGUAUCUCCUGGCUCUCUUAUUUCAGUCCAUGGUUAAUGUCAGUUGUAAAAUUAGUUUUAAUUAUUGAGACCAGUAACAGAGUUAAAUACUUCUAAUAGGUGCUAGUAAUUUUAUGAGUCUUCUGCAUCUUAGGGUCUAAAAAGCUAAGAAUGAGUAGUGUGCAGCUUCUUUUAAGAAAUAUUGCUGCUCUGUAAGUAGAUUUCCUAUAGAAUGAAUACUAAGAGAGAAGGUGUUUUUUCUCUUGAAGGCCUACUUUAUUUUUUAAUUUAAAAAGCUAGUCUUUUCAAACUUCUUUGGAAUUUAUUUUGCUAGGUAGUAUUUUAAAAUAUUAUAAUCCAUGAAAACUAAGAAGUGUUUGCUGCUUGUAUACAAAGGUUUGUGAGCCUUGGAUACCUGUAAGUUUUUAGUGAAAGCUUUGUUUUUUCAUUUCCAGCCUUCACUACUGGUUCUAAGUAGGUGUUUAAAUUUCCAGUCAAAAGCCAUGCUGUUGGUAUCUGAAGUGCCAGAUGUGUCUUCUCAGGCAGUUUUUCAUCACGUGCUUUGAAGUUCAGCUUCCUUUGAGAAGUAGAAAGACAACACUGCCUCCAUUUUACAGAUGGCAAAACUGAGUUGUGAGGAGGCCUUGUUGAGUAACUAUACAUGCCAAACAUAAUUAUCAGCUCUUCACACCAACUUGCAUAAACCACCUCUGCGUGGGGGAAGAAGUAAUGGCUGACACCUGUCCACUUACCAGAUCUGAAAUGAUCCUAGAGAUAGGUUAUUCUCAUGUGUUACUUGGCUGCAUUUUGUAUUAUCUGAUAGUGGAAGUAUCAUAAGGUGAUGAUGCAGCAGAGGCUAAAAAGAAAGGAUACAUUAUAGACUUAGAAGAAAUUUUUGUUUCCUUUUGGUUGAAUGGUAUAUAAUUAUAAAAAUAACAAAGAUAACAGCAAAAAAGAGGUGGGCUAAGACUGUGUCUUCUACUGUUGAUGGACAUCCUUCCUUUUCUAACUAAAAAUUAAGAGAUGGUCAGUAAGGAUAAGUAGUAGUACCAGAUCUGGUCUCUCUAAGAGAACUGAAUGAAUUUCUUCAUGAGAAUUCAUACACAGGACAUACAGUUGGAGUUAAUUAAUUUACUGUCCUGUUUCAUACCCAGUGCUUGCAGCAAGAUGCCGUGAAGAGACUGGAGAAAACAUUCAGCUUGUGGAAUUCUGCUUUGGGAGCAUGUGUUUGUAUGACAGUAUUAUCACUGUUCAAUUAACUCUAGAAAGGGAAGAUGCAGGAAUUUGACUACAGAAAUGUACAUGUGUGCUCUCAUACCCUCUGGGUGAUUCCCCUCCCGACUGCCAGCUGUCAUGCAGAAUCUGAAACAGACAAAAAUUUAUUGGGUAGUAUUUAGAAACAUGUCAGCGGUAAUGACUGGAUCUCUGAUUUCAAUUAUCACCUACUAAAUUUAGGCUAAUGUAGUGCAUUUGUAGACCUGUUGAGUGCACUUGACAUCAUGUUUAAAAUAUUUGAAACUGCACUGGUUUUUAAUAUCAUAUGUUGACCACUUUCUUUUUCCUACUCGCAUCUGGUGCAUGGCAGCAGACAUCCCAUGUGACCUAUAAAAACUUCAGUUGUGCUAGUUUGAGUUUCUUUUUCUUCUUCAGAUUAUAUUUCGUCAGAGAAGAAGAAAGUAGUCUGAGACUACAAUUAGUUUAAUGAAACACUGCUCUGAGAUCUGUAAUUCACCCUUUUUUCCCCCCCAUACAAUCAGUGUGUAAAUAGCAUUUUAAGCUUUAUGCCUAUUGUUUGGCUUUAAUUUUUCAUUGAAAAUCCUUGGUCACUUGAGUGCUCCUAAAGCUAUUUUAAUAAUAAAUUACCUAUAGUCACUAUUUUUAUGUAGAAUGCCUGGUUGAUAUUUCAGGUGGAAUCUGAUUAUACACCAUUUCUUUUGUUAUAUUAGCAGAGAUUAAUGUUUAAAUCCAAAUUACUGAGUUCUGCUUUGCUUACUUUGUAAACAUUUUAUGUGCUAUUAUUUUAGGACUAUUGAAGGGGAUUAUUUAAAAACAAAAUUUCCUUUUCCAAGUACUGCAAUACUUUGUUGGAGUGCUGCAAAACAGUUUUCUGUCUUCUGAUCUUGUACUCCUUCCAUAUCCAUCUUCCUUAUACAUAUUUAAUAUGUAUAGCAUGUAUUAAAUUUAUAUGCUGAUGUUUGCAACUCUGAACUUGCCUUCUAACUAUUGAAAUAGUAACUGUUGAAGUAAUUUGUUUGGUAGUACUCAGGAGUACUAAUCAUCACAGCUUUUGGUUUGUGUCUCCCUGUUUUUGUGAAAAUAUUGCAAGCUUUCAAAGUUACAUCCACAUCUGCAUGCAACUAAUAGAAGAAAUAAAGUAGUCUCCAACUAUACAUAGGCUACUUUGAGUAAGUUUAUUGUCCACAUCUUGAUAGCUGCAUAAGCAAACUUGGGGAAUUUUGUAAGAAUAAAUCUCCUCCUUUAUAUCAAAAUCCCAGCCUGCCUAUACUAAUUUUGCUUUGUUGUGGUUUCUCAUUUCUGGGAGUAUAUUUUUCAGUAGUAUUUUUAGUAGUGGUUAGCAGGUUCUUUUCCUGCCUAAUGCUUCCAGACAUCCUUUAAAUGACUUGAGAAUAACAAUCUCAAGGUUGUUUUAAACUAAAAUUAUUAUUAAAAAAACCCUGAGCAUGUUACCUAUGUAAUACAAGAUACAAUAGCAGAAGCUUUCAAAUUGGGUGUUGGAAACAUUCCUACUGGGAGAGGAAACAAAUCUUGAAGAUGGAAUUUCAGUAAAGUUGUAUGUAGACCUUCUGGUGAAAUGUGCAAGGAUGUACAGUCCUACUGAUGAUCUGUCACUUCCAGAAUUUCUAGAAGUGUCUUGGAUGGUAAGUUUCAGGAAUAGUUUCCUCUGAUGCUUAUUUUCUGGGGAUUUUGUUUUAGUUUUGGUGUGGAAAUUGUCUAUGAUUCCUUAGAAAUUCUCCAAGCCAAGCAUGGAUGCAUCCAGUAGUUGCAAGGGGUCUACCUGGUGGCUUCAUGAUGUUAUCAAAGUUACCAUGGAAAGGAUCAAUGUUUACUAUCCUGAUUUAAGCUUGUCCAGUUUAAGCCUAAAACUCAUAACUGAUCACAAGUCACAAAAAAUGCCUAUGUAAUUUUAUUACAUCUAGCCUAUACAUAAUCUGUAUUUAUCUUCCUUUAAUAGAGAUGUUUUUCUUAAUGGAGGAUCCACUCAAUGUGAGCCUAAUGUUGUUUUUAUUUUUCCUUGGAUAUUUGAAAAAUGAAACCUGAAAGGCCUGAGAAAUUUCAACAUAGGAAUUUCAAUCAUAAACUAAGAACAGUCUUAAGUUUUGAAUAGCUUGCAGAACUGGUUUUGCUCUGUUGUAUAUUUCUUUAGUAGUCUGAGAUCUUCUGAUUUGUAGAUUCUGUCCUGUGCCAUCAGUUCUAACAGGCUUUGUUGCUCCUACCAGACUGCUGUGAUACUGGGAGUGUGCAGGGUGGGUAUUUCAGUUGUUAGGUUUGAUAUGUGUUAAUGAAUAGUAUAUUAGUUUGCACAUACAGGGGACUUCUGUGCUGCUCUACUUUGCUAACUUUUCUGAUUGCUCUGUACUCAGUUCUUCUCAAAUCACUCCUGUGCUGCCUGACUGCUACCUUGGAUGACCCAGUGAUGGACAGUUGUGUUGGUUUCCGCUUUAUUUCUACAAAUCCUUCUAUUCUGUGUGACUGCAAAAAUGUUUCCUCUGCUUCCAGAGAAGUCCAAGAAAACUGCUGGCUCUGAUAGAAGAUGAAAAUAAGAUUUAUGGUGACAUCAUGUAUUACCCAAGCAAAUCUGUUUUGUGAAAGAUUGUUUUUUAUGGUGUUGAAAUAAACAAUCAGUGAAUCGUU